CAGCAAUGCAAACUGCAGAUAGAACUUUUGCCGCACGAAAGAACACGCACUUUUGAUAGCCCCAGUGAUGGUGAACGUAAACUCCCAUGCUAUAAACAACUGCACCAAAACAUAGACAUAUAAAAAAAGAAAGAAUAAAUCAUCAGAGCCAGCCGCUCCAUAAUAAUAUAAUAUUCUGAAGUAGCCAAACUUACGUGUACUCCUGCAGCAUUGGUCUCCAUCUCUGUUGCUUCAGGUAAUCCACAUUAAGACCCACAGCAGGCUUGUUGUUCUGUGUUGGUUAGUUCCAUAGAUUCAUUAUCCAUGUCUAUCGCUUCAUCCUCCUCUUGCUCGUUUUGUUCU